rnacentral:rRNA from 1 species
GAGGUUAAGCGACUAAGCGUACACGGUGGAUGCCCUGGCAGUCAGAGGCGAUGAAGGACGUGCUAAUCUGCGAUAAGCGCCGGUAAGGUGAUAUGAACCGUUAUAACCGGCGAUUUCCGAAUGGGGAAACCCAGUGUGACUCGUCACACUAUCAUUAACUGAAUCCAUAGGUUAAUGAGGCGAACCGGGGGAACUGAAACAUCUAAGUACCCCGAGGAAAAGAAAUCAACCGAGAUUCCCCCAGUAGCGGCGAGCGAACGGGGAGGAGCCCAGAGCCUGAAUCAGCAUGUGUGUUAGUGGAAGCGUCUGGAAAGGCGCGCGAUACAGGGUGACAGCCCCGUACACAAAAGCGCAUGUGCUGUGAGCUCGAUGAGUAGGGCGGGACACGUGGUAUCCUGUCUGAAUAUGGGGGGACCAUCCUCCAAGGCUAAAUACUCCUGACUGACCGAUAGUGAACCAGUACCGUGAGGGAAAGGCGAAAAGAACCCCGGCGAGGGGAGUGAAAAAGAACCUGAAACCGUGUACGUACAAGCAGUGGGAGCCCCACCACUAAGCCAGUGGUGAACUCCACAUACGCAUCCUUUGCUGAGGAUACGGUUAACGGAGCGAAAGCGACGUUCAACCGCAAAAGAAGCAGAGGGGGCUUAGUGGUGGGGUGACUGCGUACCUUUUGUAUAAUGGGUCAGCGACUUAUAUUCUGUAGCAAGGUUAACCGAAUAGGGGAGC